UUACGGCCAUAUCACGUUGAAACACCGGUUUCCGUACAACCACAAAAGUUAAGCAACACCGAGUCUGGUCACUACCUAGAUGGGUAACCGCUUGGGAAUAUCAGAUGCUGUAAG